GAUGAACGCUGGCGGCGUGCCUAAUACAUGCAAGUCGAGCGAACGGACGAGAAGCUUGCUUCUCUGAUGUUAGCGGCGGACGGGUGAGUAACACGUGGAUAACCUACCUAUAAGACUGGGAUAACUUCGGGAAACCGGAGCUAAUACCGGAUAAUAUUUUGAACCGCAUGGUUCAAAAGUGAAAGACGGUCUUGCUGUCACUUAUAGAUGGAUCCGCGCUGCAUUAGCUAGUUGGUAAGGUAACGGCUUACCAAGGCAACGAUGCAUAGCCGACCUGAGAGGGUGAUCGGCCACACUGGAACUGAGACACGGUCCAGACUCCUACGGGAGGCAGCAGUAGGGAAUCUUCCGCAAUGGGCGAAAGCCUGACGGAGCAACGCCGCGUGAGUGAUGAAGGUCUUCGGAUCGUAAAACUCUGUUUAUUAGGAAGAACAUAUGUGUAAGUAACUGUGCACAUCUUGACGGUGCCCUAUCAGAAAGCCACGGCUAACUACGUGCCAGCAGCCGCGGGUAUACGUAGGUGGCAAGCGUUAUCGGGAAUUAUGGGCGUAAAGCGCGCGUAGGCGGUUUUUUAGUCUGAUGUGAAAGCCCACGGCUCAACCGUGGAGGGUCAUUGGAAACUGGAAAACUUGAGUGCAGAAGAGGAAAGUGGAAUUCCAUGUGUAGCGGUGAAAUGCGCAGAGAUAUGGAGGAACACCAGUGGCGAAGGCGACUUUCUGGUCUGUAACUGACGCUGAUGUGCGAAAGCGUGGGGAUCAAACAGGAUUAGAUACCCUGGUAGUCCACGCCGUAAACGAUGAGUGCUAAGUGUUAGGGGGUUUCCGCCCCUUAGUGCUGCAGCUAACGCAUUAAGCACUCCGCCUGGGGAGUACGACCGCAAGGUUGAAACUCAAAGGAAUUGACGGGGACCCGCACAAGCGGUGGAGCAUGUGGUUUAAUUCGAAGCAACGCGAAGAACCUUACCAAAUCUUGACAUCCUUUGACAACUCUAGAGAUAGAGCCUUCCCCUUCGGGGGACAAAGUGACAGGUGGUGCAUGGUUGUCGUCAGCUCGUGUCGUGAGAUGUUGGGUUAAGUCCCGCAACGAGCGCAACCCUUAAGCUUAGUUGCCAUCAUUAAGUUGGGCACUCUAAGUUGACUGCCGGUGACAAACCGGAGGAAGGUGGGGAUGACGUCAAAUCAUCAUGCCCCUUAUGAUUUGGGCUACACACGUGCUACAAUGGACAAUACAAAGGGCAGCGAAACCGCGAGGUCAAGCAAAUCCCAUAAAGUUGUUCUCAGUUCGGAUUGUAGUCUGCAACUCGACUACAUGAAGCUGGAAUCGCUAGUAAUCGUAGAUCAGCAUGCUACGGUGAAUACGUUCCCGGGUCU
rnacentral:rRNA from 1 species